rnacentral:rRNA from 1 species
UACAGAGGUGGCAAGCGUUGUUCGGAAUUACUGGGCGUAAAGGGCGGGUAGGCGGUCCGGUAAGUCCCGUGUGAAAUCCCUCGGCUCAACUGAGGAACUGCACGGGAAACUGCCGGGCUUGAGUUCGGGAGAGGGAAGCGGAAUUCCGGGUGUAGCGGUGAAAUGCGUAGAUAUCCGGAGGAACACCGGUGGCGAAGGCGGCUUCCUGGACCGACACUGACGCUGAGGCGCGCAAGCUAGGGGAGAAAACGGG